GACGAACGCCUGCGGCGUGCUUAACACAUGCAAGUCGAACGGAAAGGCACUGCUCUUGUGGGGUGCUCGACUGGCGAACGGGUGAGUAACACGUCCGUAACCUGCCCUUGACUUUGGUAUAACUUCAGGAAACUGGGGCUAAUACCGGAUAGGCACUCCUGCUGCCUGGUGGGGGUUGGAAAGUUUCGGCGGUUUGGGAUGGACCCGCGGCUUAUCAGCUUGUUGGUGGGGUAGUGGCUUACCAAGGCUUUGACGGGUAGCCGGCCUGAGAGGGUGACCGGCCACAUUGGGACUGAGAUUAGGCCCUGACUCCUACGGGCGGCAGCAGUGGGGAAUAUUGCACAAUGGGCGGAAGCCUGAUGCAGCAACGCCGCGUGCCGGAUGACGGCCUUCCGGUUGUAAACCGCUUUCGCCUGUGACGAAGCGUGAGUGACGGGAAUGGGUAAAGAAACACGCGUUAUCUACAUU
rnacentral:rRNA from 1 species